CCUCCUCCUCUCUGUCUAUCUUCAUCCCUUCCUUCCUUUUAAUUAAUGUCUAAGUUAUCUAUCGCUCAAGGUUCCUUCCAGUGUGUUUGUGGUGCCCGGCUCUGCUUGCUAGUUAGUUUUGUCACUGUAUAAUUGUCAAUCCUAGUUUGUUUUGCCACUGUAUAAUUGUCAAUCCUAGUUUGUUUUGUCACUGUAUAAUUGUCAAUCCUAGUUUGUUUUGCCACUGUAUAAUUGUCAAUCCUAGUUUGUUUUGCCACUGUAUAAUUGUCAGUCCUAGUUUUUGUCACUGUAUAAUUGUCAAUCCUAGCUAGUUUUGUCACUGUAUAAUUGUCAAUCCUAGUUUUUGUCACUGUAUAAUUGUCAAUCCUAGUUUUUGUCACUGUAUAAUUGUCAAUCCUAGUUUUUGUCACUGUAUAAUUGUCAAUCCUAGUUUUUGUCACUGUAUAAUUGUCAAUCCUAGUUUUUGUCACUGUAUAAUUGUCAAUCCUAGUUUUUGUCACUAUAAUUGUCAAUCCUAGUUUUUGUCACUGUAUAAUUGUCAAUCCUAGCUAGUUUUGUCACUGUAUAAUUGUCAGUCCUAGUUUGCUUUGUCCCUGUAUAAUUGUCCGUCCCAGCCAGGCGCCUCUUCCAUGUAAAGAUAUCGGCAGCUUCAAGCCUUGCCGAUAUCUCAAUCCGUACGUGAAUGUAAAUUAACCGAAAUCCUUGUUACUAAGCCCUGCACGGUGCUCUCUCACAUAAUGCUUCUUUAAAUUUUCAGUCUCACUUAAUUUCCGGGGUUAGUAAUAUAUUUUGCCAUAAGUUAACUCCCCGUGAUGGCCAGUUUCAUGUACUAUAUAUAAGUAAUUUGCCUUUUGCAUGGCUAUAAUUCUGCAUCCGUGUCUAAGGCCCAGUUUCACAGUUCCUCAUGAUGGGUUAGUAAGCUCCAAAACCAAUACCAGAGCCUUCGAAAUUUCCUUGUACGGUGUCUGGAGUUUAUAUUCAAGUUCACAAAUUUGACGAGACUAUACAGGAAAGGUCUUGUGUGUUUAUGCUACGAAGGAAAGGGAGGAGAAGGGAGAUGAGAUUGGGAGACGAGUGAGCCGAGAUCCUGUUUUUAUUCAAGUUCACAAAUUUGACAAGACUAUACAGGAAAGGUCUUAUAUUGUCAUGAUACGAAGGAAAGGGAGGAGAAGGGAGAUGAGAUUGGGAGACGAGUGAGCCGAGAUCCUGUUUAUAUUCAAGUUCACAAAUUUGACAAGACUAUACAGGAAAGGUCUUGUAUUGUCGUGAUACGAAGGAAAGGGAAGAGAAGGGAGAUGAGAUUGGGAGACGAGUGAGCCGAGAUCCUGUUUAUAUUCAAGUUCACAAAUUUGACAAGACUAUACAGGAAAAGCUGUGUUUAUGAUAUGAAGGAAAGGGAAGAGAAGGGAGAUGAGUAAGCUGAGAUCCUGUUUAUAUUCAAGUUCACAAAUUUAACGACACUAUUCAGGAAAGAUCAUGUGUGUUUAUGCUGCGAAGGAAAGGGAAGAGAAAGGAGAUGAGUAAGCUGAGAUCCUUUUUAUAUUCAAGUCCACAAAUUUGACGACACAAUACAGGAAAAGCUCUUUGUAUUUAGUGUGUCAUCGAAGACCGCGCCAUUUUGAACAGUAUGGGAUUCUAUAGCUUGGUUCGGGAGUGUUACAAAGACCAUGAUGGACUGUGGAAGCGGCCCUUAAUGUUCCCUUUUCUAAUAUGCCUCUCUGUUUUUGCAGGAUGCCGCGGACGGACCAUGCAGAGGACUCAUCGCGACGACACCAACGGUUUGGUUAAGUGGGUUCUUUUGUGUGUGCGUCUGUGUGUGAAUGGCAGGCCUGUCGUAUGAUUGUGUGUGUGUGUGCGUUGGCGUUAUGCCUUCGCACUAUUAUUUUGUUAGGAUGUAUUUUUGUGUGUGAACUUUUUGCACGUAAUCUUUUUUUAUACCCAUAGCUAGCGUUUGUUUGUGUGGCAGUGUUCCGGGAGAUGGACGCCGGGGGACAUGGGCUUGGGGAGGCGCACAUGACCUCCUCUGUCCGUGACCUCUUCAGCUGGGGAGACCGUGUGUUGCCCCGCCUGGAGAGACACGUUGAUGGAGGUGGCCGUGUGUGUCACCCUUUGCCUGUAUCCUCUGGCGCCCAGAGGCGCGUAAGCGGAGAGCAUCGGCGCAGCGCGGGAGCAGCACGUCAGGGUGUAGGGUGUUUGUUUAGCUGGUGUAGGGUGUUAGGGUGUUAGGUGUAACAACGGUUGGCUCUUUCACAGAACGGGUGUGAUUCCGUUCUGCGUUUGAGUCUUCCACCUUCAGACGGUCUCCCUCCGAGAUGUCUGAAGUUUUUUUUGUCGGUUUUCUCCGUAGGAGGAAGCCGACUCUAGCUACUCUGGCCUCUCUUCCGGGGGUCAGAGCGGUCGGGCUCUGCUUGGCCAGGCGUUGCCUUUCGCGUUGUCUCCGCCGACGUUUUGCCAGACUCUUCCGUAAGGUUGAGCCUGGCUUUUUAUUAGGUGGAUCAGGCUGCCUUCUUCCAAGGAGUCUGAUGGGAGUGGAGUCUUUUUUUUGGUGUAUGUCUGUGGGUACUUAGUGGGUAAGGGAGGGUGGGGUAGAAUGGUUGGUGGGCUGGAAGUGGGUUGGGGGAUGAGCCUCCUGGGAUUUGGGUUGUGUCGAGCCUUACCGCCUGGUGUGUUGGGUAACCUUCACGCCAGGGGGGGGGUGCCAAGACCAUAUCCAUCUCCUGGGCAGGGCGAUUCCCCUUUCCCAUGCCAACUGGCCCUCCUCCGUCUGCCUCCCCAAACCCCCGCUGAGUGCUUGUGUGUGUUAUUUUAUUUAGGAUGUCUUUUUUUUCUAUGCCUUUUUCCCGUGUGUUUAUACCCAAUAGCUAGCGUGUGUGUGUGUGUGGCAGUCCGGAGGCGCGUGCAGCGAGGACAUCACAUCACGUCACUACGGUAUAUCCACGGUAUUUGGUUUAGUGUGUGCUGUGUGUGUUUGUGUGUGUGAUGGCAGGCCUGCCGUGUGUUUGACCUUUUGCUGUGUGUUGCUGUGUGACUGCUAGGAUUUCAUUUCUAUGUAUGUUUUUUUCCCCAUAACCCCCUUCCUCCCUAGCUCUUUAGCUGUUGUGUGCGAGGCGCUGGGUGGAUGCUGCCGGGCGACCAACGGCGGUGGCGGUGUGCAACGCGGGAGCUGCUGAGGUUUGGGGUAGCACUACGGUGCAGGUUAUGUAGGGUGUGUGAGUUUUUUUUUUGUGUGAGUGUCUUUUUUUUGUGUGGGGUGUUGGCGGGGGACUUAGCUAAUCACUGUGUCAGGAAGGCAUGGGCGUGGCCGUCUGUCCAUCAGGCCGACGGGCGGGUGUGCCACCUGGCAGUCAGGCUAGCAGGUGACAGGCAAGCUAUUUGGUGGUCAGGCUGUCAGUCGGGCCAUCAGAUAGGUAGGCAGGCCACCUUGCGGUCGGGUUGUCGGGCGGGCACCCCACCCUCGGUCAGGUAGGCAGGCAGCAGCGUCUACGCUGAGCCGUACGGCUACACGUACGAACGCACGGAACCCGUACGCUACGUUCCGCUGCACUGACGCUCGUCGUACCUCUGCUCGCACGCUUGCGGGCGGGUUGGGGGCGGGGGGCGGAUGGGCGGACGGGCGGGCGUACGUGGGAACGGGCGGGCGG